rnacentral:rRNA from 1 species
UACGUAGGGGGCAAGCGUUGUCCGGAUUUAUUGGGCGUAAAGAGCGUGUAGGCGGCCUUACAGGUCAGCUGUGAAAACUCGAGGCUCAACCUCGAGACGUCGGCGGAAACCAUCUGGCUAGAGUCCGGAAGAGGAGAGUGGAAUUCCUGGUGUAGCGGUGAAAUGCGCAGAUAUCAGGAAGAACACCCGUGGCGAAGGCGGCUCUCUGGGACGGUACUGACGCUGAGACGCGAAAGCGUGGGGAGCGAACAGGAUAGAUAC